CAUAUCAAUAAGCGGAGGAAAAGAAACUAACAAGGAUUCCCCUAGUAACGGCGAGUGAAGCGGGAAGAGCUCAAAUUUGAAAUCUGGUAGCCUUCGGUUGCCCGAGUUGUAAUCUAGAGAAAUGUUUUCCGUGCCGGCCCAUGUACAAGUCCCUUGGAACAGGGCGUCAUAGAGGGUGAGAAUCCCGUCCUUGACAUGGACCCCCGGUGCUUUGUGAUACAUUUUCAACGAGUCGAGUUGUUUGGGAAUGCAGCUCAAAAUGGGUGGUGAAUUCCAUCUAAAGCUAAAUAUUGGCGAGAGACCGAUAGCGAACAAGUACCGUGAGGGAAAGAUGAAAAGCACUUUGGAAAGAGAGUUAAACAGUACGUGAAAUUGUUGAAAGGGAAACGAUUGAAGUCAGUCAUGCUCUUUGGUAUUUAUAUCAUUGAGUGGGGUCAACAUCAGUUUUGAUCGAUGGAUAAAGGCACUAGGAAUGUAGCACUCUCGGGUGAACUUAUAGCCUAGCGUCAUAUACAUUGAUUGGGACUGAGGAACGCAGCAUGCCUUUAUGGCCGGGAUUCGUCCACGUACAUGCUUAGGAUGUGACA
rnacentral:rRNA from 1 species